AGCGAACGCUGGCGGCAGGCCUAACACAUGCAAGUCGAACGAAGUCUUCGGACUUAGUGGCGGACGGGUGAGUAACACGUGGGAACGUACCUUUUGGUUCGGAACAACUCAGGGAAACUUGAGCUAAUACCGGAUGAGCCCUUAGGGGGAAAGAUUUAUCGCCGAAAGAGCGGCCCGCGUUAGAUUAGCUAGUUGGUGAGGUAACGGCUCACCAAGGCAACGAUCUAUAGCUGGUCUGAGAGGAUGAUCAGCCACACUGGGACUGAGACACGGCCCAGACUCCUACGGGAGGCAGCAGUGGGGAAUCUUGCGCAAUGGGCGAAAGCCUGACGCAGCCAUGCCGCGUGAAUGAUGAAGGUCUUAGGAUUGUAAAAUUCUUUUACCAGGGACGAUAAUGACGGUACCUGGAGAAAAAGCCCCGGCUAACUUCGUGCCAGCAGCCGCCGUAACAC
rnacentral:rRNA from 1 species